CACUCCUCCCACCAUUCAGUACAUUGAGUUACUCCAGCGGCGAAUGCAUCCCGAAGAGAUACGCGGAGAGAGCGUCAAAGAGAGACCCCGCACAGGACGGAGUGGCUGAAAACGGGAAGAAGACUUUUUCUCCUUUUUUUUUUUAUCUAGAGGUGAAAGAACCGCCCGCUCUGUACCGGCUCUUUUUUCUCCCCUUCCUUUGUUUUCGUUGUAAAACUUCGGCUCAGUCAGCAUUUACCGGUGAGCCUCCCACCCCUACCUCUCCCACACGGGUUGUCCCCAUUUCACUCACGAGGGGCAAUUUACCGGAAAACUCUCAACUUUUGCUGCGGACCUGCAAAGUAACUGUAAAAAUAAUAAUAAUAAUAAAAACAUUGUCAGCAGUCCCAAGACAGGGUACUCGGUAGCCAGUGGGAUGUUAGAGCCCUGGAAGCAGGACUGACUGAAGGAGCAUGGUGAAACACCAACCCCUGCAGGUCUAUGAGCGCCAGCUGUGUUUGUCAUGUAUCACUGGGAUCUACGGUUGCCGAUGGAAACGCUAUCAGCGUUCCCAUGAUGACACCACCAAGUGGGAGCUGCUGUGGUCCCUCAUCCUCCUCUUUACCUUCUGUCUGCUGCUCGGCUGGUUCUACUUCUGGUGGGAGGCACACAACGACUACAAUGAAUUCAACUGGUUUCUAUACAACCGCUCUGGGGAGUGGAGCGAUGGCACCGUUCCCAUCCUGGCCACCACCGCUGCCGGCUUCACCUACGUUGCAUUUUUAAUGGUUUUAGCGCUGUGCCACAUUGCACUUGGGCAACAGUUGAAUUUGCACUGGCUCCAUAAGAUUGGAGUGACGGCUGCUUUGCUCACCACCAUCGUCGGGGUCAUAUCUGUCAAUCAAACAUGGGGUCAAGAGUGGGAUGUCAUCCCCAUCUCCCUGCAGGCUACAGGUCCCUUUCUUCACAUCGGGGCUCUUGCUGCGGUCACAGCGCUGUCUUGGAUUGUGGCUGGACAGGUCGCCCGUUCAGAAAAAACAAUUUUGCAGGUGGUGGUGGUGCUGCUGUAUUUCAGUGUGUUACUUGGACUCUACAUGGUGCCCCUGUAUAUCACCUCCCCCUGCAUCAUGGAGCCAGAGGACCUCAAACCACGGCCUGAUGUUAUUGGCCACCAGGGAGCCCCCAUGCUUGCUCCAGAGAACACAGUGCAGUCGUUCCACCUAGCUCUGCAGAUGAACGUCACUGGGCUGGAAGCCGACGUCGCUAUCAGUUUGGACGGCGUGCCUUUCCUGAUGCACGACCGGACCCUGCAGAGGACUACAGACGUAGAGAAGGUUUUUCCAGACCGUCAGAUGGACGAGGCCUCACACUUUAACUGGACGGAUCUUCAGCAGCUCAACGCUGGUCAGUGGUUCCUCGAGGAUGACCCCUUUUGGACAGUGCACGGUCUGUCCGAGCGAGAGCGGGAGCUAAUCGCUAACCAGAGUGUGUGCAGCCUGGAGCAGCUCCUAAAGUUGGCCUCAUAUCACAACAGCACAGUGGUUUUCAGGCUGCAGAGGCCUCCUCCAGAUCACCCCUGUUUCCAAAGUUGGAUCAACGAUACACUGCAAACUGUACAGCGGUCCGGGUUUCCUGAGAGCCUGGUGAUGUGGACUCCCGAUGAGCACAGAGCUGAGGUGAGGCAGCUGGCACCUGGUCUGAUCCAGACCUCGGUGGAGAAACAGAGCGUUCAAAGUCUUCAUCAGGACGGCAUCAGCAGGCUGCUGCUCAGAUACAACCAACCCAGCCCGGUGGAAAUCAGAAACUUCUCUGAGCAUAACAUCAACCUCACCCUCUACACGGUCAACGAGCCCUGGCUGUACUCUGUGCUCUGGUGUAGCGGCGUUUCUUCAGUCUCCUCAGAGGCCCCACAUAUUCUCAAAAAGGUGCCUUACCCCAUCUGGCUCAUGAGACCAAAUGAGUACUGCCUGAUGUGGGUGUCUGCAGACCUCCUCUCUUUUGUAGUAGUCAUAGGAGUAUUCGUUUUGCAGAACUAUCACAUGAUCAGGUAUCGGAUGAGCGGCAUGCGCAGCUACAACCCCGAGCAGAUCAUGCUGAGCGCUGCGGUCGGGAGGUCCAGUCGAGACAUCAACGUCAUGAAGGAGAAACUCAUCUUCUCUGGUCACCCCCAGUAACCGCCCUCCAUCCUUUGUGUGAUGUGCAGCACCUCCUGUCCAUCCUACCACACCCCCACCUCCGAGCAGUGACUUCUUCCUUUAUUCCGUGCAUCCAUUGCAUCCUACGUUGCCUUCCACCGCUCUGCCCACUUUGCCCCUUUCCCCUUUAUCCAUCCAUCCAUCCAUUCGUCCAUCCAUCCCUUCACACACACACUCUCCCACAAUCCCCCCAGUGGAACCAGCACUGUGUAGUGAUGCUCAUUGUAGUCUAGAAAGCCUCUAGUGCUGGGGUCAAAGAGGUGGGGAACGGAGUUGGCAGUGCUGAGGAGCUGUAUGGCGACAACGGUUACGACUACUACACCAACCAGGGCAUCAGCCAGUGAUUGAAACAGAAGAAGCUUGUAGCCAGAUGGAACAAGGACCCUCAGUGUUCACAUCCUUCCUGUGUAUCAGCGUAAAGUCUUUUCUCCCCUCUGAUUGGCCAGACUGAUGAGCUGACAGUCUGCCGUACCUGGCAGAGACGCCUCCUGCCCAGCUGCUUUGUGUACAUUCUGUAAAUAUAGUUUAUUUUUUUUUUCUUGUCACAGAACUACAAGCACUUUUUAUUGAUGGAAUUCUCCAGGUCUGUGGCCUCUUUCUCUCAUAUCCGAAUGUCCAAGAGUCCCCAGUCUGAGUUACUAUUGCCUGCUACUGUUUCUAGAGUCUUUAUCUUAAGCUAAUUUUCCAAAGCAUUUCAUGGUUUAAAGCGCUGUAUAUGAUACUCUUCUCUUAGCAGAUGGAUUUCUUUUAAAUAAUUCUUUAUCGAUUGCAGCAUGCUCAUCAUGCUCCUUUCAUCACUCCACAGUGCUGCAGCUCAGAGCAGUACUACUAUUAAUAUUUGUAUUUAAAGAAAAAGAAGAAAAAAAAGGAAAAAACACACACACAAACAAGCUGUUUACAGAAGUCCUGCCUUCUCCUCCAGGUGAAAUAUUCACGUGGUGUAUGUAAGAUAAUUAUUCGUCGUACUUUUGACCAGUGCAUGUGACUGUAAGGAUCAACUGACCUGUGUGAGCUGUGCUCCCAGAGGAACUGGUGAAAAUGGUUCAAGGGAUUAAGAUUUGCUCUGUGUUUUUAUGGUGAAUGCGUACUGAUUAUUGUAUUUCUUUUUUUUUGUUUUGUUUUGUUUGUUUUCUUUUUAAACAUGUGUACAGUGUAUUGUGUGUCUUCGGGCUGGUUAUGUAUUUUUACCCUGUGUGCAGUGCUACGCUGAACUGUUGUGUAUAAAGAGUGAACCAAUGUGUGAGACGCUCCAGCCAAUACUAACUACAUCUGAACCACGGGGACAGUUUAAUAACUACAAUAGCAAUAGCCCGCUCUUGAUGGAUUGAUAAUUCUCACAAUGCCUUUGAAUUGUAGUUAAGCCUGUGGUAUUUUAGUGAUGACAAAUUAAGUGUUGGUUGCUGGUGUUAUGCUGAAUGCUGUGAGGUAAAUGAAGUGGGUGCUAAAUGUGAAAAUAAAGCUACUCUGAGCUAAGUGAAGGGAUGCUACAGGUAUCACAACAGGCAGCACGGGUCAGGAAAUGAUUGCCUUUGUGUUUCUUUUCUUUCAUUUGGGUAUUACUGUGCCUCAGAACUAAACAUUAAAAACAGAUGUUUUAUAGUUGA